CAAUAGCGUAUAUUAAAGUUGUUGCAGUUAAAAAGCUCGUAGUUGAAUGUUGGUGUCGAACGAGCGGUCAGCUUCGGCUGUACUGCUCUCUCGACUCCUUCCUUCUGUGGACUACGUCGCACUUUACUGUGUGGCGCUAGGACGCAGAUCGUUUACUGUGAAAAAAUUAGAGUGUUCAAAGCAGGCCGUACGCUUGAAUACAUUAGCAUGGAAUAAUGGAAUAGGACGUCGGGCCUAUUUUGUUGGUUCUAGGACCGUCGUAAUGAUUAAUAGGGACAGUUGGGGCCGUUUAUAUUCCGUAGUCAGAGGUGAAAUUCUUGGAUUUACGGAAGAUAAACUACUGCGAAAGCAUUCGGCAAGGAUGUUUUCGUUAA
rnacentral:rRNA from 1 species